UAGAGUUUGAUCAUGGCUCAGAACGAACGCUGGCGGCAUGCCUAACACAUGCAAGUCGAACGAAGUCUUCGGACUUAGUGGCGCACGGGUGCGUAACGCGUGGGAAUCUGCCCUUGGGUACGGAAUAACUCAGAGAAAUUUGUGCUAAUACCGUAUAAUGUCUUCGGACCAAAGAUUUAUCGCCCAAGGAUGAGCCCGCGUAAGAUUAGCUAGUUGGUGAGGUAAGAGCUCACCAAGGCGACGAUCUUUAGCUGGUCUGAGAGGAUGAUCAGCCACACUGGGACUGAGACACGGCCCAGACUCCUACGGGAGGCAGCAGUGGGGAAUAUUGGACAAUGGGCGAAAGCCUGAUCCAGCAAUGCCGCGUGAGUGAUGAAGGCCUUAGGGUUGUAAAGCUCUUUUACCCGGGAUGAUAAUGACAGUCCGGGAGAAUAAGCUCCGGCUAACUCCGUGCCAGCAGCCGCGGUAAUACGGAGGGAGCUAGCGUUGUUCGGAAUUACUGGGCGUAAAGCGCGCCUAGGCGGGUUUUAAAGUCAGAGGUGAAAGCCCAGUGCUCAACACUGGAACUGGCUUUGAAACUGGGAAACUUUGAAUCUUGGAA
rnacentral:rRNA from 1 species